rfam:Salmo salar isolate Sally breed double haploid chromosome ssa23, whole genome shotgun sequence.
UCCCAUGUGGCUCAGUUGGUAGAGCAUGGUGUUUGCAACGCCAGGGUUGUGGGUUAAAUUCCCACGGGGGAC